GGGAAAUGAGUACUGAUUUAUGGCUGAUUCUUCAUAACAAAUAGCUCCAAAAUGGAUCCUACUCAGAAGCAUGAAUUAUUUGAUGAAAAUCUCAGUGUCAACGUGUGCAGGAUGUUUCCUUGGUCAAGGGUGCCAGAGGGGUUCAGAAAACAGCAUGGGUCAUUGCCUUUGCUCUUGGUUGCCUACUGAAACUAGAUAGUAAAACCAUAUUACUGAGGACACAACACACUUUGACUCCAGGACAUACUGAAAUCAAGCUGGAAUUGACCUGAAAACUUCCUCCCUGAUGGCUAGCUUAACAGUGUUAGAAGGCACAAAGCAGGCUUCUGGGGGAGAAGAGUCACCAACAGUCUUUCUGUAUGCUGAAUCCUGAACUCUGGAAUACUAAUCUACAAGACAAGAUAUGCUCCUUAGUAAAAUAGCCACACAGAGAUUAUGGAGCAAACACUGAUCCAGUUGACAGUUGGGAAGGAAAUUUCCCAAACAGAUCAUUUCUGGCAUCCUUGGAAAGAUUUCCGAGUAGUUCUACAUGAUGGGAAGACCCUGCGUCAACAUACCUCAAGUUUAUAUCCACUGAGUGUCUUUAAUUAAAAGAAAUUCAUCUGCCAGCAGGACAAGAACACAGAGCUCAAGAGAGAGGAGUUGUGCAGGAACAACAGUGACUGGAGCAAGAAACCCUCUACACAUUGUCACCAGCAUUCUCAGAGCCUGGGAGGACCUCAGAGACCUAACCAUAAUGGAUCCAUUUACAACACAACUCAACCAAAGGCGCAGGGAACCUCAUGCAAAAGGGUAUAGAAAGAUUUAAGAGCCAGAAGAACAGUAAAUCGGCUGUAAAUUUCUGCCUUGUGGGAAUGGCAGGAAAGCUUCAUCCAAUAUACCUUAGCAACACGGCUGCCUGUGCAAGAACUUAAAGUACAACACCGAGAGACAUGCUAACAUGGAAGCAGGAAAUCUCAUGGGCCUCCUCACCUCUAAACAAAGAACUACAGACAACUAAAGAAGGUGGACAGUGGGAGAAAUAGUCUUCCCAAGGAAUUAGCUCCUCAACUAGCUAUUUGGUACUAAGGAGUCAGUCUUGAAAUCAUAUACGUACAAGGAACACUAAAUAGACAGAGCAGGUUGUAUUUGUUUAGUUAUAUGUGCAUGUGUUAAAGUGUGUGUGUUUAUAACCUUUUUAAUGUUUAAAAAAAGGAGUACUAUUUGGAAAAAAACUGACAAUAUAGGCACUUUGGAUGAAGGGCUCACUUCAGGGUCAUUUUAUCAAUGUCCAUGCUCAUUGAUAUACAGUGGAAACUGCCCAGCGGCUAACCUGAAGCACAUCCCAAAGUGCACAGAAAAGCUGGACCAAGUAGAUUUCAAGAGUUGCCAAGGCCAAAAACAGCAACAAUCCCAAACAAGGAUACCUGAGGAAACUGAGUCAGAUCUCCAUCUUUCUCACCUCUGCUUGGGGUAGCACAGUUAGAAUUGUCCUGGUUUGAUCUGAGUCAUAAUUGCUGCUAUUUGUGGGAGUUGUCAGAUGAGAGAGAUGACCCCUUCCUUUCCCAGAAAAGAAAGAUAAGGCAUUCUCUCGGUUGCGAGGAGCAGAGGUCAGCAUCAUUGGCUUUGAAUGAAAAAUUUGUAUGUUAUAUCCCAAACAGAGAAAAUAGGAAGUAUUGAUUUCAGGAUACUGUCUUAGUGUGCUGGAGAUGUUCUACAAUAUAUGAGAUAGAUUAAGCAAUAGUUUAAGGAGUCAUUUCCUCUUUCUCCAGUUCUGGAGGCUUGAAAAUCUAAGCUUAAGGAGCUGGAAGAUUUGGUAUGGUGAUAACUGCUUCCAGGUUGACAGGAAGUGCCUUCUUGCUAUGUAUUGAUAGGGCACAAGAAGUAACCAACCCCCUUGGCUGUCUCUCAAAAGGCCAUUGAUCCUACCAGUGAGAACACUACCAGCAUCAUGAUUGAAUCACCUUCCUACUAUCCUCAUUCUAGAGAUUAGAGUCAGUAUAUAGAGAUCACAAUACAGGCUUCUGAGGCUCAAAGUCGCUGACUUUGAAGAAGUUUUGUAACAUAAUGGGUAGCCAAGAGUGUUAAUA
rnacentral:lncRNA from 1 species